rnacentral:tRNA from 1 species
UUUAAUUUAGCAUAAAUUAGUGUGUUCGUUUUAAGUGCGAGAGGUUAAAUUAAAA